GUGAGGAAUUUUCCGCAAUGGGCGAAAGCCUGACGGAGCAAUGCCGCGUGAAGGAUGAAGGCCUAUGGGUUGUAAACUUCUUUUCUCAGAAAAGAAUUAUGACGGUAUCUGAGGAAUAAGCAUCGGCUAACUCUGUGCCAGCAGCCGCGGUAAGACAGAGGAUGCAAGCGUUAUCCGGAAUGAUUGGGCGUAAAGCGUCUGUAGGUUGUUUAAAAAGUAUUCUGUCAAAGAUUAGGGCUUAACCCUAGAUAGGCAGAAUAAACUUUUAAGCUAGAGUUUGGUAGAGGUAGAGGGAAUUACCGGUGGAGCGAGGAAAUACGUAGAUAUCGGGAGGAACACCAAAGGCGAAGGCACUCUGCUGGGCCAAUACUAACACUGAGUGACGAAAGCGAGGGGAGCAAAUGAGAUUAGAUACCCCUGUAGUCC
rnacentral:rRNA from 1 species